GGAUCGAUAGCUCAGUGGUAGAGCGAGAGAUUGCAGUUCUGCGCAGUUAUCUCUAGGCCCCGCGUUCGAACCGCGGUCGGUCCU
rnacentral:tRNA from 1 species